rnacentral:rRNA from 1 species
UACGGGGGGGGGCUAGCGUUGUUCGGAAUUACUGGGCGUAAAGGGCGCGUAGGCGGUCUACUAAGUUGGAUGUGAAAACUCUGGGCUUAACCCAGAGCCUGCAUUCAAAACUGAUAGGCUAGAGUUCUGGAGGGGAUAGCGGAAUUCCUGGUGUAGCGGUGAAAUGCGUAGAUAUCAGGAGGAACACCGGUGGCGAAGGCGGCAUCCUGGACCGGCAUUGACGCUGGAGGCGCGAAAGCUAGGGGAGCAAACGGG